rnacentral:rRNA from 1 species
AGUGAACGCUGGCGGUAGGCCUAACACAUGCAAGUCGAACGGCAGCACAGUAAGAGCUUGCUCUUACGGGUGGCGAGUGGCGGACGGGUGAGGAAUACAUCGGAAUCUACUUUUUCGUGGGGGAUAACGUAGGGAAACUUACGCUAAUACCGCAUACGACCUACGGGUGAAAGCAGGGGAUCUUCGGACCUUUCGCGAUUGAAUGAGCCGAUGUCGGAUUAGCUAGUUGGCGGGGUAAAGGCCCACCAAGGCGACGAUCCGUAGCUUGUCUGAGAGGAUGAUCAGCCACACUGGAACUGAGACACGGUCCAGACUCCUACGGGAGGCAGCAGUGGGGAAUAUUGGACAAUGGGCGCAAGCCUGAUCCAGCCAUACCGCGUGGGUGAAGAAGGCCUUCGGGUUGUAAAGCCCUUUUGUUGGGAAAGAAAAGCAGCAGGUUAAUACCCCGCUGUUCUGACGGUACCCAAGGAAUAAGCACCGGCUAACUUCGUG